CCUCUGCAUCCCUGGCGUGGCGUCCUGCUCUGUGGCUCCCUGCUCUGUGGCUCCCUGCUCUGUGGCACCCUGCUCUGUGGCUCCCACGCAGGAGGCUGCAGGCACCCAGCCUGUGUCUCGCGGUCACUGGAUGGACCCAGGAGGCUGAGGUCAGUGUUGUGAGGAAGGUGGAGACACUAUUCUCUUCCUAAAUGUAUGCUUUUCCACGAAUCCCACGGGUUUCAACUCUUGCCUGGGUCUGACACAGAAGGUGCUGAUUAGGGAAAGAAACCAGCUAUGAAGACAUGAAGUUGGGAAUCUGCCUCAGAAAAGCCCUGAAGAAACAGACAUUCCUCCUUCCCGUCUCUGGCUCCUCAAGAUUCAUCCUUUUUUGUGUUUACUUUUGGAAUACAUGCAGGUUUGUUAAAGAAUGACUUUUUAAAAAACAUUGGCAAAAUAUGGAUUUCUUGCCCAAUUACCGGAAAGGUUACCAACACAAGGAAAGGCAGUUUCACCGGAUGGUUUCGGAUGAUGCUUCAAACUUCAUGGGAGGAAGAGGAGCUGCAGCUUGCAUCUCAUCAGCUCCCUAAUGGAGCAGCAGCCAAGCUCAACUCAUUAUCUUACUUUGCAGUCACUCACCCAGAGCUGUAUGCAUCAGCCGUUAGGGAUUUUUGAGGCCUGUUAUAUUUGAGACUAACAUGGAAAUAAAAUAUGUAUUUCUUUUUGUGCUCUUCCCUCCUGAAUUUUUUCUUUAUUAGUUCUGGGAGUUGCAUUUAUGGCACUAUAAAAGGUCAUUUUCUAGUCCUGACCUUCACUGUUGCUUAUUUUCAAUGCUCCAGAUAAAAACAAACUAGAAGUAUGUUGGAAAGAAAACGCAUGAUGAUACUUUGACAGUAUUUCAUAAUGAAAUAAAUCUUGGGUUGUAUUUGAGCCAUUUAUGCAGAAACAAAAAAUGAGUGGGCUCAUCUGUAAAGGUCAGACGACAUUAACUCAAUAGAGGCAUUAUGAAAUACUAGGCAGGAAUAUGCCGAUAAAAUAACUUAUUUUCAGAUUUGUGUUAAGUCGUGAUUUCAAGUCAGAGGUCAUAUUUUGUCCAGGCCUAAUACCAGAUGUCCAGCAUGGACAUCCCCUUGGACAGAGAAAGCACAUAUUAAAAAAUUUUAAAUCCAGAAAGGAAAGGAAAGUCACUGCUGUUGUUGACCAACUUUUCUGUGCAAGACCCUGCGUGAGGGUCUUUACUGAUGAUUUCAUUUAUUAAUUUUGGCAUCGGCCUGGG
rnacentral:lncRNA from 1 species